rfam:Heterocephalus glaber contig168512, whole genome shotgun sequence.
AUAAAGGCCCUUUUCAGGGCCCCCCACAAAGUCAGUUGAGAGCUG